UACGAAGGGGGCUAGCGUUGUUCGGAAUUACUGGGCGUAAAGCGUGUGUAGGCGGUGAGGUAAGUCAGGUGUGAAAUCCCGGAGCUCAACUUCGGAAGUGCACUUGAUACUGCUUCGCUUGAGUACUGGAGAGGUUGGUGGAAUUCUCGGUGUAGAGGUGAAAAUUCGUAGAUAUCGAGAGGAACAUCGGUGGCGAAGGCGGCCAACUGGACGAGAUACUGACGCUGAGACACGAAAGCGCGGGGAGCAAACAGG
rnacentral:rRNA from 1 species